GGGGUUUGGAUCUGUACAAUUACAUGACAGCACUUGUUCCAUGCUGCCACUCUCAGGGGCAUGAAGUCACUCUGCACCUCUACUUCCACUCUCAGAGUUACUGCCUACUUCUGUUUGUUCACCUGUGCAGCCUGGAGUGUCUGCCCCACUAGGGAGAGACUGACCUCUCCCUGCAUGGCUCGGCUGUACUGUGGCAGAAGCAUGGAGCUGGACUUCCCAUUCUGUUGGCAUUGGAGCUUCUUCAUACAUCUUUGCAGAAAUUCAACUGAAAAAGAGGCUGAGAACCAGAAUCCAAAAUCCUAAAUGUAAGUAGCUAAUUGCAAUUUCACAAGGAAAAUGAAAGCCAAAACUAUUUCACUGAAAAGUAGUAAGUCUUAAUUUUUAUUAUUAAUUUUUUAUGUGGUCAUAUGGAAACAAAUUGGGCCGAAGUCUUUCAGCUAUACAUUCCAGAGAGUCUGCUCAUUUAGAAACUACGAUAAUAGGACAGAAACAUUUCUCUUGGUAGUAAACCUGUAGCAAAUGUGUUAUUCAAAGGCUGGGAAAUUGA